rnacentral:misc_RNA from 1 species
CAAAAUGUUUAAUAUUAUUAUUUUGUCACCUUAGGUCGAUCGGUAUCUCACGUUUUUAAUUUAUUAAGAAUUUCAUUUCCUAAGUUUUUCUAGGUCACACCCAUUAUUUUUCCUGGGCCAUUAGCUCAGGUGGUUAGAGCGCACCCCUGAUAAGGGUGAGGUCCCUGGUUCAAGUCCAGGAUGGCCCAUAUCUCUAUGUUGGGGGUAUAGCUCAGUUGGUAGAGCGCCUGCUUUGCAAGCAGGAUGUCAGCGGUUCGAGUCCGCUUACCUCCACUGAUCACCACCUCUUCCAUAAUUUGUAGCAGGGAAUGUUUUGAGUUGUGAUCAAAUUCUGAAAGAAUCUAGCUUCCUAAUGAAAGCAUUAAGAUGCUGGACUCAUUGAAUUUAUUUCAUUGUUUUCAGAGAACCUUGACAACUGCAUAGAUUAUUUUUAAAGACAAUAAGCAUCUUUAAUGAUGCAGGUUUAUUAUUUGUGCAAAUGCAUUAAUAACAAUUCUAUUAAGCUGAUGCUUCAAUAUUUGAAGUUAUUGGUCAAGCUACAAAGGGCUCACGGAGGAUACCUAGGCACACAGAGGCGAUGAAGGACGUGGUUACCUGCGAUAAGUCUCGGGGAGUUGGAAGCCACACUUUGAUCCGGGA